rnacentral:rRNA from 1 species
UACGUAGGGUGCAAGCGUUUGUCCGGAAUUACUGGGCGUAAAGCGCGUGUAGGCGGUUGUUCAAGUCAGGUGUGAAAGCCUUGAGCUCAACUCAAGAAAUGCACUUGAUACUGGAUGACUAGAGGACCGGAGAGGAUAGUGGAAUUCCCAGUGUAGUGGUGAAAUACGUAGAGAUUGGGAAGAACACCAGUGGCGAAGGCGGCUAUCUGGACGGUUUCUGACGCUAAGACGCGAAAGCGUGGGGAGCAAACAGG